rnacentral:rRNA from 1 species
UACAGAGGAGCCAAGCGUUGUCCGGAAUUACUGGGCGUAAAGCGUGCGCAGGCGGUUCGUUGUGUCGGCGGUGAAAGCCCCGGGCUUAACCUGGGAAUGGCCGUUGAAACUGGCGAACUGGAGUGUGGCAGAGGGGGGUGGAAUUCCGCGUGUAGCAGUGAAAUGCGUAGAGAUGCGGAGGAACACCGAUGGCGAAGGCAGCCCCCUGGGCUAACACUGACGCUCAGGCACGAAAGCGUGGGGAGCAAACAGG